ensembl:lncRNA
GGGGGACGUGGGGGCUUUUGUCCCGGCUGCCCAGCUUCUCCCACAUUGAUCGCCAUAGCAACCAAAGCCCCCUGUUGCCUAGGUGAUGGCAGCCGGGUCCUGGAACCCAUACCCAGCAUCCAAAGCGAGGGAGGUUGUGAAGGUGGGGGGGGUUAGGGACAGAGGGGGAGAGAAUGGGGUUUCUCCUCCGGCAGCCCCAGCUUUUGUCUGAGCCCUGGGAUCAGGUUUCUUCAGGAAACAAUCGGAGGCCUCUGGAAAAAAUACACUCAGAACCUGGCAACAGGCAGAGGGAACAAGGCCUUGGGGGUGGGGGGUUACAGAGGGGGAGGCUGGCGUUGGCCAAAGUGCCGGCUGAGGCCAGGCCUUCCCCUCCGUCCACCCGGAGGAGCAGCUCAGAGGGAUCGACGCAGGGACCCCGAGGGACAGGUGCUGAGAACUGGCGGCCAGGCGGCAGGCAGGGGCCCCCUGCCCCGCGGUCCCCAAGGGUCACCCAGCACCCUCGCGGGUACACGACUCCCACCUCCCGGCCCAGAUCCAAAGAACCACAGGUUCAUCCAGAAAGGCAGAGCCCGGGCAGAUGUCGGGCAGACGCCAAGUCACAACCAUCCUGCAGGCCACCGGUUCUCCCCCACCUGCCGGCUCCACCUGGGUGCUCGGCCUGGGCCCCAACAGCCGCGGGUGGCGGCCAGAGGUCCCAGCACUAAAGCUGGACACGCAGCCCAGUGGAGGACGCGCGGCCCCAGGUGAGGCCCCCCGGUAGGCCACCACUGAGAGACUCGCUGACGCUUCGGCCGUGAGGUGUGCCCUCUCAAGAGCCAAAUCAGGUGCCUCGAGGACACGCCAAGGCCGGGUCAGGGAGACCAUGGGGACCCCAGCCCCUCUUCUCGGCAGCGGCGGGGCGAGGGGGGUUUCAGCCCCACUCCUCCGGAGCAUGGCGCUCCCUCACCCCUCCCUCAUCCCUCCCNNNNNNNNNNNNNNNNNNNNNNNNNNCCCACCCCGUGGCCCCACCCAGCCUCAGGCCAUGGACCAGCCACGGUUCCCUCAUCACAAGAGGAGGACAGCACAGGGCAGGCGGCACAGGGCAGGCAGGACCCUAGACCAAUGAAGCCACGGACACUGGCUCCCCACCCUCAUUCCCAUCCCCUGCCCAAGGUCCCAGUGCCCCUGGGGGAGACCAGAGCUAGCAGCUGGAUUGCUGGGGGCCCGACGGGGAGCCCAGGAGCCCCCACCCCACUGCCCAGGCACUCUCCCAGGACCGCCCAGACAUGAGCUCACCAUCCUUCGAGCCCCAGGGCAGGGCCAGGCUCCUUGUCCUCGCUGGGCUGGGAAGCAGGGGACGGCUGUGCUGGGUCACCCCGGGGACCACACUUCCAGAGCAGCUACUCCCCGCCAGACCCCAGUACAAGGAGCAGCCUGGGGAGAGUGAGCCCGCACUCUGGGCUCCUGGCCAGGAUACCUGAGCUCGCACUGGCCCUAGGGAGGGGCUGGGGGAGCCAGAGCCAAGCCCUCCUCCUCCUCUGCUUCCUCACCUCUCCUCUGUCUAAAGCAAGGGUGAUGUGGGUGCCCCCUGAUGCCCAGACACAAGUACACCCACACUCCUACCCCCCUGAAACCUGGAAUGGCUCUGCCUGCCCCACCCAGCUCCACCCGCCCCGGCCAGGCAGGUUCUGUGGAGACCUGCUCUGUUUCUCCCCGGCACCCCCA